GUUACUGGCCUGUUGUUCUACUUACUACAACUUAGGCAUAGCAUCAUUUUUAAAGUUCUUCAGUACACUUCACUUAAAAGAACGAUGACAGGUAUAGUGAUGCAAGUGUUGUUGCUCUAUUGCCUCCCUCCUAGGUGUGAGACAGCACUUUGCCCUAUUAAAUCAAAGCAAAUAAUGUUAUAGAGUCAGUUCCAGAUUUACAGCUCCAUCCAGAAGGUUGAUGCUAACUGAGAAGUCUCCAGAAUUGGAUCAAAUUUUCAAUUCAAAUGAAUAGAGCAACUACGCAUCUCAUGCCUCAUAGAUCUCCAAAUUUAACUCCAAGUCUGCUCCCUCCUUCCAGAUGGCUCAUGGAGUGGGAGUGGGGGACAGAAUUAGCUAGCAAACCCAGAGAGAGACAGUUCUCUGCAUCCAAUGCUGUCUACCUCUACUUGGUGUUACCAAGGAGAAUGGCAAAGAAAUGUCACAGAAGCAAAAUCCAUAAAGUCUCAUCAGCAUGGCUCCUAAACAAGUCUUGAACAGAGACCAUUCCAAUAGAUAAGCUAACCUGAAAUGAGGACAUCUAAUGGGGUCUCAACACUCGACAAAGAACUACAGACAACAAAAGAAUACUGACACUGGG
rnacentral:lncRNA from 1 species